UCGAACCUGCACAGCAGAAUGACCCGCGAACUCGUUAUCCAACCUCGGGGAUCGGGGGGCACCUGUGCCCUCCGAGCCCCGACGCCGUGAGGGGAGGGCGAGAGCCCGAACCGCUCGGCAAACAACGUACCCCGGCGCGGCAUGCGCCAAGGAACCGAAACGAAGCGAUGUGCGUCGCCCGGCCCGUUCGCGGGACGUCGGCGGCCGCACGGUCUUCCACUGUAUACUAAACGACUCUCGGCAACGGAUAUCUCGGCUCUCGCAUCGAUGAAGAACGUAGCGAAAUGCGAUACUUGGUGUGAAUUGCAGAAUCCCGUGAACCAUCGAGUCUUUGAACGCAAGUUGCGCCCGAAGCCAUUAGGCCGAGGGCACGUCUGCCUGGGCGUCACGCGAUCCGUCGCCCCGCAACCCGAACCCCCUCGGGGCGUCUCGGUCGCUUGCGGUGCGGAUAAUGGUCUCCCGUGGGCACGUCCCGCGGCUGGCAUAAAUACGAGUCCCGUGUGCACCUAGCCCGCGGCCGACGGUGGUUGAGAAGCCUUCGAAAACAGCCGNGGUCAGGUCGCCCGCUUUGGGACCCGUGACCCUCGCGCGACUCUCCCCUCGGGGGAAGGAGCUCAUUCUGCGACCCCAGGUCAGGC
rnacentral:misc_RNA from 1 species